AUGCUCUGACUGCUUAUUGCACCACAUGUGUUUUUCUUUGAAACAAACUUGCUUUGGCGGUGGGCCCAGCCUGCCGCCAGAGGUCUAAACUUACAACCAAUUUUUUAUCAACUUGUCACACCAGAUUAUUACUAAUAGUCAAAACUUUCAACAACGGAUCUCUUGGUUCUCGCAUCGAUGAAGAACGCAGCGAAAUGCGAUACGUAAUAUGAAUUGCAGAUAUUCGUGAAUCAUCGAAUCUUUGAACGCACAUUGCGCCCUCUGGUAUUCCGGAGGGCAUGCCUGUUUGAGCGUCGUUUCUCCCUCAAACCGCUGGGUUUGGUGUUGAGCAAUACGACUUGGGUUUGCUUGAAAGACGGUAGUGGUAAGGCGGGAUCGCUUUGACAAUGGCUUAGGUCUAACCAAAAACAUUGCUUGCGGCGGUAACGUCCACCACGUAUAUCUUCAAACUUUGACCUCAAAUCAGGUAGGACUACCCGCUGAACUUAAGCAUAUCAAAAGCCGGAGGAAUUA
rnacentral:rRNA from 1 species